AAUGCUAAGAGAAUGAAUUAACAAAAAAAUUCUUUUUUAACUUUAAAAAUUAAAUUUAUUUUUGUCUGUGCAGAAACAACAAUUAAAAUUAAAGACAAGAAGACCCUAAGAAUUUUAAUUAAUUUUUAAAAAACUUUUUUUAAAAAUUAAUUUAAUUGGGGCGAUUAAUAAAUACAAGUAACUUUAUUUAAAAUAAAAUGAUCCAUUAAUAUUGAUUUUAUGAAUAAAAUACUCUAGGGAUAACAGCG
rnacentral:rRNA from 1 species